rnacentral:rRNA from 5 species
UUGACCUCGGAUCAGGUAGGGCUACCCGCUGAACUUAAGCAUAUCAAUAAGCGGAGGA